rnacentral:rRNA from 1 species
AUUGAACGCUGGCGGCAGGCCUAACACAUGCAAGUCGAACGAGUGGCGGACGGGUGAGUAAUGUCUGGGAAACUGCCCGCUGGAGGGGGAUAACUGCUGGAAACGGUAGCUAAUACCGCAUACCAUCGGAUGUGCCCAGGUGGGAUUCGCUAGUAGGUGGGGUAACGGCUCACCUAGGCGACGAGCCCUAGCUGGUCUGAGAGGAAGACCAGCCACACUGGAACUGAGACACGUUACAGACGCCUACGGGAGUCAGUAGUGGGGAAUAUUGCACAAUGGGCGCAAGCCUGAUGCAGCCAUGCCGCGUGUAUGAAGAGGGCCUUCGGGUUGUAAAGUACUUUCAGCGGGGAGGCGUUACUCGCAGAAGAAGCACCGGCUAACUCCGUGCCAGCAGCCGCGGUAAUUC